CGUGCUGUGAGGAGGAGGAAGGGACAGAAAGGGUGAGCUGCUGUACAAGGGACAGGAAGCAGGGAACUGGAACUGCAGAACGAAGAGAGAAGAAGGAGAGAAAGAGAUAGAGCUGUGUGGAGCUGCUCAAGGGACUGCAGCAUAGAAAAGGUCCUUGGCAAAUGCUGGAUGAGAACUGACACAGAAUUUCUUGGGACCCUGGCAGAGAGAGAGAAGCAGCAAAUGGUGUUGGGAGAGUUUCUAUUGAAAAUGGAGUUGCUGAGCAAAGUUUUAACAGUAAGAAGGCAGCAAGUUCUAUAGGGUUUGACAGUCUGGAAGCACUGGACGGGUCCUCUUUAUAUAUUGUGGCAUCAGUGUUGGAGUCUAUGGGUACCCUGGAGUGAGCGCAGUAACCCUGAGGAUGGAGAAGGGUUUGGGAUGAGGCCAAGAGACCUGGGGAAACCAUUUUGCAGAAUGACACUUGUGUGGAAAGAAUGCUGCCGUGCAACCCACCUGGGUGCUUUGCACAUCCUAGGUUUUUUCCAUCUCUUGUCACAUCAGAACACCCUGGCAUCCUCAGGUCCAGAGGGACUUUGAGAAAAAGGUCAAAGUUCCCAGCACAUGGGGGCUGUUUGGCUCCCCCUGGCCUCAGCCCUCUGGCACAGAAGCAGUCUCCCUCUGUGGGUGCAAGAACACGUCCUGCACUUUCUGCAGUGUCCUUCUCUUGCCCCCUUGGAGCCGUUGGACCACGCUGCCGUGCGGAGCACAGGGAGAGUUUGGCGUGGUUGUGGCCAUGCCCGGUCCUGGCUGUGUUCUUGAGGAACCGUCUCUGCCACAAAGUCAGGGUGCUUCUGACGGUGUCCCCACCCUGGCUGUGGCCGCCUGAGCGUGCAGGUGCUGCCCUGAGAGGGCUCUGCCAGGGGUGCUGAGCCUGGGCUGGGUGGGGGCUCAUUGAAUCCGUGGACCCACCACGUGCCUCCCCAGGCCACGGCCCUGCGCUGUCCCCACCCCUGCCACGCACAAGGCAGCCAGCAAGGCCCUGCCCUCCUUUCACCCUGACUACUGCUCUCUGACCUUUUGCUUUGCCCUUAAUGUCUCACCCUGAACACUGACUUUCAAAGCUGAUAUUGGCAGUAACAGGCAGCCAGUUCAGUUCUGUGUUUAGGUGUAGUACAGAAACAGGAUCUUUCUCUUGUCGUGACGGGGCAGCAAUUGGAGGAUGUGGUAGAGACUGGAAUGCAAAGAGAAUUAAAAACAUGAAGAUGGGCUUAGUUUUGUGGCCAGAGCUCUACUCUGCAGUACCACAUUUCCUGAACUUGGCAAUGCCAUGCACCUGCCACAAGUACACACCAAGCGUGAACCACAGCCCCUGUGUAGGCCAAGCACCUGCACAGGUUGCACACGCUGAGAGCACACCCUGAGCGCAUGAAACCUGUCCCUUUAGCUGCC